UACGUAGGGGGCAAGCGUUGUCCGGAUUUAUUGGGCGUAAAGAGCGUGUAGGCGGCCAUGUAGGUCCGUUGUGAAAACUCGAGGCUCAACCUCGAGACGCCGAUGGAAACCAUGUGGCUAGAGUCCGGAAGAGGAGGGUGGAAUUCCUGGUGUAGCGGUGAAAUGCGUAGAGAUCAGGAGGAACACCCGUGGCGAAGGCGGCCCUCUGGCUCGACCCUGACGCUGAGGCGCGAAAGCGUGGGGAGCGAACGGG
rnacentral:rRNA from 1 species